GAUGAACGCUGGCGGCGUGCCUAAUACAUGCAAGUCGAGCGAACAGACGAGGAGCUUGCUCCUCUGACGUUAGCGGCGGACGGGUGAGUAACACGUGGAUAACCUACCUAUAAGACUGGGAUAACUUCGGGAAACCGGAGCUAAUACAGGAUAUCAUGUUGAACCGCAGGGUUCAACAGUGAAAGACGGUCUUGCUGUCGCUUAUGGAUGGAUCCGCGCCGCAUUAGCUAGUUGGUAAGGUAACGGCUUACCAAGGCAACGAUGCGUAGCCGACCUGAGAGGGUGAUCGGCCACACUGGAACUGAGACACGGUCCAGACUCCUACGGGAGGCAGCAGUAGGGAAUCUUCCGCAAUGGGCGAAAGCCUGACGGAGCAACGCCGCGUGAGUGAAGAAGGUCUUCGGAUCGUAAAACUCUGUUAUUAGGGAAGAACAAAUGUGUAAGUAACUAUGCACGUCUUGACGGUACCUAAUCAGAAAGCCACGGCUAACUACGUG
rnacentral:rRNA from 1 species